UAGAUAGUAUCUAAGGUGUAACCUGCCCAGUGGUUUCUAAUACAAGAAAUAAAAAUUCUAUAAAGAAACUAAAAGGACGCGGUAACCUUGACCGUGGUAAUGUAGCAUAAUCACUCGCCAUUUAAUUGGUGGAUAGUAUGAAUGGUUGAACGAAUAUUCCGCUGUCUUAGAAAGAAGCACAAGAAAUUGAAAUAAUAGUUAAGAUGCUAUUUUUAACUGUAAGACGAAAAGACCCUAUAGAGCUUAACUAUAAUCUUCUUAUCAUAAAAGAAAAUAAAUUCUAUAUUUAAGAAGAUUGGUAGUUUAGUUGGGGCGACUGUCUUUUAUAACAAACAAAGACAAGCAAUGUUAAUAAAAAACUUAUUGUAUAACUAAAAUGUUUAACAAUUAUAAAAAUAGGCUAUAAUGACCCGUUAUUACUCUAUAAAAAGAAUAACGAUCAAUUAAUAAAAGCUACCUUAGGGAUAACAGGAUAAUUUCAUUUUAGAGUUCCUAUCGAAAAUGAAGUUUGUCACCUCUAUGUUGAAUUAAGAUAUCCUGAUAAUGCAGCAGUUAUCAAAG
rnacentral:rRNA from 1 species